rnacentral:rRNA from 1 species
UACGGGGGGGGCAAGCGUUGUCCGGAAUUAUUGGGCGUAAAGGGCUCGUAGGCGGUCCAUCGCGUCUGCCGUGAAAGUCCGGGGCUCAACUCCGGAUCUGCGGUGGGUACGGGCAGACUAGAGUGAUGUAGGGGAGACUGGAAUUCCUGGUGUAGCGGUGAAAUGCGCAGAUAUCAGGAGGAACACCGAUGGCGAAGGCAGGUCUCUGGGCAUUAACUGACGCUGAGGAGCGAAAGCAUGGGGAGCGAACAGG